rnacentral:rRNA from 1 species
UACGUAGGAUGCAAGCGUUGUCCGGAAUUAUUGGGCGUAAAGAGCGCGCAGGCGGUAUGACAAGUCAGAUGUGAAAGAGGCCGGCUUAACCGGGCAAGGGUCAUUUGAAACUGUCAGACUAGAGUGCAGCAGAGGAUAGUGGAAUUCCCGGUGUAGUGGUGAAAUGCGUAGAUAUCGGGGAGGAACACCAGGUGGCGAAGGCGACUAUCUGGGCUGCAACUGACGCUGAGGCGCGAAGGCUAGGGUAGCAAACAGG